rnacentral:lncRNA from 1 species
UGGUGCAGAGACGUUUAAUGGCAAUUCGUAUAAACCAAGCCCAUGCACAAGUAGAAAGUGCUCGUGGAGCCAGCCCGGGGGGCUCCCGCCGCGCAGCGCCUUAAAUAGAUUCUUCACUAUACUCUGUAUGUUACAGUUAUGUACAAACCCCUCCCCACGGGAGCGGGACUCCGCCUCGCGAUCCUAUGUACACCCCCUCCUCUUUGGCCCCUAAGUGGGUGACCAGAGUCAGGGUGAUGGGGAAGACAGGGCCAGGAAAGGAGGAAACAGACGCAAACAUGCGGAGUCAGGGUGGGGCAGAGUCACCCCUGAAACACGAGGGCGCGCGCAGCGAAGGCAGCGGUGGGGACCGAGGCGGAUACAUUCAUCAGAGACUCGUCGAACAAAUAAAUAAGGCAAGUCAGGAAGGUCCGAGUCAAGUGCAGGCAGGAACGGGGUUAUGGAGAAGGUGCAGGCAGGGCUCCAUAGUCACAGCUGAAGAUGCAGAUAUGUGGGGCACGGGUCUUCUGGAGCCAGGGACCAAAAGAGGAGGCACGACCAGUAGGGGGGAAACGUGUAAGGCUGGGAAUAGGGGCGGGGAUUCUACGAAGGGCUCCCAAAAAGGUGAAGGGGGAAGAGCUGCCGACAGGGGGCUCCCCUAGUCCCGAAAGCCCUCUCCUUGUUUAGACAGCCAGAAGGGGCCCCCAGGGUGUGGAGAAAGGCGGUAGAGAGGUCAGGUGGCCAGUCCUGGCUGGGGCAGCCCCUCCAGCUCCUGGUUCUGCUUCAGUUCCCUCAUUCUGCGGAGAGACAGAGAUGAGUCAGAGGAGAUUGAUGAACCAGAAAAGGUGACAGGGCAGACAGAGAUCCAGAGAGGUAAGGGGCUAGAACCUGUGUCGGCAGCGCCGCAGGAACCUCAUUAUUUUCCGGGCUGCCUGGUCCUGCUUCUUCGUGAGAAAGGUGCCCCUGGUAGGAAAGAGACCUCAUAGAACUCAGGCAACCCCAGUCCCCACCUUAAGACCAUUACAGGGAAAGGCUGGAAGAGAACAGGGAGUGGGCAUGAACAAAGAGGAAGAGAAGGAGUUGCCUCAUCUGAGCAUCUUACAGCCCAUCUUGUAGACUCUGGACCUCUUCCUUCCUCCCACAGUCUCCUCCUUAAACUUCUUAAACAAUUGUUU